AUUGAACGCUGGCGGCAUGCUUUACACAUGCAAGUCGAACGGGCUGGGGGCAACUCCAGUCAGUGGCGAACGGGUGAGUAAUACAUCGGAACGUACCUCGUAGUGGGGGAUAACUCGGCGAAAGCCGUGCUAAUACCGCAUAUGCUCUACGGAGGAAAGCAGGGGACCGUAACAGGCCUUGUGCUAUGGGAGCGGCCGAUGUCCGAUUAGCUAGUUGGUGAGGAAUGGCUCACCAAGGCGACGAUCGGUAGCUGGUCUGAGAGGAUGAUCAGCCACACUGGGACUGAGACACGGCCCAGACUCCUACGGGAGGCAGCAGUGGGGAAUUUUGGACAAUGGGGGCACCUGAUCAGCCAUGCCGCGUGCGGGAAGAAGGCCUGGUU
rnacentral:rRNA from 1 species